rnacentral:rRNA from 1 species
AUCCUAAGGCCGGCGGGAGAAGUGUUGUUAAGGAACUCGGCAAAAUGACUCCGUAACUUCGGGAGAAGGAGUGCUGCGCAAGCAGCCGCAGAGAAAUGGCCCAAGCAACUGUUUAGCAAAAACACAGGUCUAUGCGAAACCGGAAGGUGAGGUAUAUGGGCUGACGCCUGCCCGGUGCUGGAAGGUUAAGGGGAGAGCUUAGCGCGAGCGAAGGUUUGAACUUAAGCCCCAGUAAACGGCGGCCGUAACUAUAACGGUCCUAAGGUAGCGAAAUUCCUUGUCGGGUAAGUUCCGACCCGCACGAAAGGCGUAAUGAUUUGGGCACUGUCUCAACAACACACCCGGUGAAAUUGAAAUACCAGUGAAGAUGCUGGUUACCCGCGCCAGGACGGAAAGACCCCAUGGAGCUUUACUCCAGCCUGAUACUGGGAUUCGGUAUUGCAUGUACAGGAUAGUUUCUAACCUGCGCCCGUGACCCGGGCGGGGGACAAUGUCAGGCGGGGAGUUUGACUGGGGCGGUCGCCUCCGAAAGGGUAUCGGAGGCGCUCAAAGGUCUCCUCAGGAUGGUUGGAAACCAUCCAGAGAGUGCAAAGGCAGAAGGAGGCUUGACUGCGACACCGACGGGUGGAGCAGGUACGAAAGUAGGACUUAGUGAUCCGGUGGCAUAAAGUGGGAUUGCCAUCGCUCAACGGAUAAAAGCUACCCUGGGGAUAACAGGCUUAUCACUCCCAAGAGUUCACAUCGACGGAGUGGUUUGGCACCUCGAUGUCGGCUCAUCGCAUCCUGGAGCUGGAGCAGGUUCCAAGGGUUGGGCUGUUCGCCCAUUAAAGCGGUACGCGAGCUGGGUUCAGAACGUCGUGAGACAGUUCGGUCCCUAUCCGGCGCGGGCGCAGGAUAUCUGAGAGGAGCUGUCCUUAGUACGAGAGGACCGGGAUGGACCGUCCGCUGGUGGACCGGUUGUCAUGCCAAUGGCACGGCCGGGUAGCCAAGACGGGAAGGGAUAAACGCUGAAGGCAUCUAAGCGUGAAGCCCCCCUCAAGAUGAGAUAUCCAUACUCGAAAGAGUGAGAGACCCCUUAGAGACGAUGAGGUAGAUAGGGCAGAGAUGGAAGCACAGCGAUGUGUGGAGUUGACUGUUACUAAUCGGUC